CUAAGGAGUGCUUUCACUUCUUCACCAAAGAGCCGUAGCUCGUUCAUAGCAGAUUUAGUCAGAUUCUGUACAGCAUCUGCUAGCUCAGUAAUAAAGAGAUGACAAUGAGUUGGGGCAAUUGCCACCAGCUUCUUCAUUACUUCCGCUACAAGAGUAUAUGCAUUAUCUGACAGACCUUCCCGUGCAAGGAAUGAGCAAAGAAGUCGGAGUUCUGCUCGUGGCAGGUUCAGUAGAACACUUCGAGUAUCACACUCACUAUUUGCACCAGGAGUUGUGGAUUUGGAGGAAUCAACGGUUGCGGACGAAGAAACAGCAACCCCAGCAGAAGCACUGCCAACUUCCAUAUUUGUUCUAGAAUCUGAUGAGGAAUUCUGGGGAGCAGAUUCAGUUGCAGCCCCAGAUUUAUCGAAUAAACUUGGCUUGCAUUCAGCACUGUCA
rnacentral:misc_RNA from 1 species